rnacentral:tRNA from 1 species
GGCCCCGUGGCGGAAUGGUAGACGCAACCGUCUUUUAAACGGACACCGUGCAAGGUUUGUGGGUUCGAAUCCCACCGGGGCCA